AGAGUUUGAUCAUGGCUCAGAACGAACGCUGGCGGCAGGCCUCAAACAUGCAAGUCUAGGGGGUGUAGCAAUACAUCACCGGCGGACGGGUGCGUAACGCGUGGGAAUGUACCUAUUGGUUCGGAACAACUGAGGGAAACUUCAGCUAAUACCGGAUGAGCCCGAAAGGGGAAAGAUUUCUCGCCAAUAGAUCAGCCCGCGUCCGAUUAGCUAGUUGGUGGGGUUAUGGCCUACCAAGGCGACGAUCGGUAGCUGUUCUGAGAGGAAGAUCAGCCACACUGGGACUGAGACACGGCCCAGACUCCUACGGGAGGCAGCAGUUGGGAAUCUUGGACAAUGGGGGAAACCCUGAUCCAGCCAUGCCGCGUGAGUGAUGAAGGCCUUCGGGUUGUAAAACUCUUUCGACGGGGACGAUAAUGACGGUACCCGUAGAAGAAGCUCCGGCUAACUUCGUGCCAGCAGCCGCGGUAAUACGAAGGGGGCUAGCGUUGUUCGGAAUUACUGGGCGUAAAGCGCGCGCAGGCGGUCUUCCAAGUCAGUGGUGAAAGCCCGGAGCUCAACUCCGGAACUGCCAUUGAAACUGUGAGCCUUGAGUACGAGAGAGGUGAGUGGAAUUCCCAGUGUAGAGGUGAAAUUCGUAGAUAUUGGGAAGAACACCGGUGGCGAAGGCGGCUCACUGGCUCGUAACUGACGCUCAGGCGCGACAGCGUGGGGAUCAAACAGGAUUAGAUACCCUAGUAGUCC
rnacentral:rRNA from 1 species